CUAAAGGCUCUUUUUAGAGCCAAAAAAAUAAAAUAAAAUAAAAUA
rfam:TPA: Bos taurus chromosome 2, whole genome shotgun sequence.